UAAAUUCUCUGGCAUAGCCUAUUAAACAAGUAAAUGACACGGAAAUAACGUUUCAUGUUAAUUUUCUGUUUCUCCAAAACACACAAGCAUUAAAAAUCAUUCCAUAACAACAUGUAGCAUAGCCCAACAAAAAGGGGGAAAAAAAGGGGAGAAGAGAGCUUGCAUUAUUGAGAACAUGCAUACACCUCCCACAUAUACAUCAACAAAUGGAAAACAACGAAACACAGAUAAAGAAAAUGAGCAAAGGCUGCAAGACAACAAAGACAUCGUGAAAGAUGUGAUUCAAUUCAUUGAAUUAGCGACCAAGCUUAGCUUGUAUGUUAGUUUUAAUUAUCAUCACUGAUCAAGAGCUUUGAUGGAGUGGAGUGGAAUUAUAUAUAGUCCUUCUUUGCCCAGAAAUGUUGCUUCUCUCACACAGAACAUAUGGGAGAGAAAACACAUGAUCAUGUACUUGGUACCGACUGGACUAUUCCCACUUUCCCAAUUGGCAAUGAAAAUAGCAUUUGGGCCAAUUCAGAGGCAAG